rnacentral:rRNA from 1 species
AGAACACCUCAUGUACAUCUCAGGAUUUCCCCUAGUAGCGGCGAGCGAAGCGGGAAGAGCUCAAAUUUGUAAUCUGGCGUCCUCCGGGCGUCCGAGUUGUAAUCUAUAGAGACGUUUUCCGUGCCGGACCGUGUCCAAGUCCCUUGGAACAGGGUAUCAAAGAGGGUGACAAUCCCGUACUUGACGCGACGACCGGUGAUCUGUGAUACGUUUUCUACGAGUCGAGUUGUUUGGGAAUGCAGCUCAAAAUAGAAGAUAAAUUCCAUCUAAAGCUAAAUAUAGGCGAGAGACCGAUAGCGAACAAGUACCGUGAGGGAAAGAUGAAAAGCACUUUGGAAAGAGAGUUAAACAGUAUGUGAAAUUGUUGAAAGGGAAACGAUUGAAGUCAGUCAUGUCCAUUGGAUUCAGCUGGUUCUGCCAGUGUAUUUCCUUUGGACGGGUCAACAUCAGUUUGAGCCGGCGGAUAAUGGCAGAGGGAAUGUGGCACCCCCGGGUGUGUUAUAGCCCUUUGUCGCAUACGUCGGCCCAGACUGAGGAAUGCAGCUCGCCUUUAGGGCCGGGGUUAGCCCACGUACGAAUUUUCCCGCCUUCACGAUCACAAGAAUAAUGCCUUUAAACGACCCGU